rnacentral:piRNA from 1 species
AUUGCCCCGCAGAUGUUUACCU